AGCAGCCGCGGUAAUUCCAGCUCCAAUAGCGUAUAUUAAAGUUGUUGCAGUUAAAAGCUCGUAGUUGAAUUUCGGGAUUUAUCCGUUGGUCGGGCUUUUGGGUCUGUACUGGCGUGAUGGAUUUCUACCUUCUGAAUAACCGGCAUGUCAUUAAUUUGGUGCGCCGGGGAAGCAGGACUGUUACCUUGAAAAAAUUAGAGUGCUUAAAGCAGGCUAUUGCCUGAAUACAUUAGCAUGGAAUAAUGAAAUAGGACGGCAUGGUUCUAUUUUGUUGGUUUCUAGGAUCACCGUAAUGAUUAAUAGGGAUAGUUGGGGGCAUUAGUAUUUAAUUGUCAGAGGUGAAAUUCUUGGAUUUAUUGAAGACUAACUUCUGCGAAAGCAUUUGCCAAGGAUGUUUUCAUUAAUCAAGAACGAAAGUUAGGGGAUCGAAGACGAUCAGAUACCGUCGUAGUCUUAACCAUAAACUAUAGCCGACUAGGGAUCGGACGAUAGUUAAUUUUUUUAAUGUACUUCGGUUACG
rnacentral:rRNA from 1 species